rnacentral:rRNA from 1 species
AGUGAACGCUGGCGGUAGGCCUAACACAUGCAAGUCGAACGGCAGCACAGUAAGAGCUUGCUCUUACGGGUGGCGAGUGGGGGACGGGUGAGGAAUACAUCGGAAUCUAAUUUUUCGUGGGGGAUAACGUAGGGAAACUUACGCUAAUACCGCAUAAGACCUACGGGUGAAAGCAGGGGAUCUUCGGACCUUGCGCGAUUGAAUGAGCCGAUGUCGGAUUAGCUAGUUGGCGGGGUAAAGGCCCACCAAGGCGACGAUCCAUCACUGGUCUGAGAGGAUGAUGAGCCACACUGUAACUGACACACGGUCCAAACUCCUACGGACGCCACCGUGCAGCAAUAUUAAACAAUGCGCGCAAGCCUGAUCCAGCCAUACCGCGUGGGUGAAGAAGUCCUUCGGGUUGUAAAGCCCUUUUGUUGGGAAAGAACAGCCUCAGGUUAAUACCCCACUUUUCUAACGGUACCCAAAGAAUAAGCACCGGCUAACUUCGU